rnacentral:rRNA from 1 species
AAGUCUUUGGGUUCUGGGGGGAGUAUGGUCGCAAGGCUGAAACUUAAAGGAAUUGACGGAAGGACACCACCAGGAGUGGAGCAUUCGGCUUAAUUUGAUUCAACACGGGAAAACUCAUCAGGGCAAAAAACUGAUAUGAUUGACAGCUUGAUAGCGCUUUCUUGAUCCGGUAGCAAGUGGUGCAUGGCCGUUUUUAGUUGGUGGAGUGAUUUGUCAGGUUAAUUCCAUAAACGAACGAGACCUUAACCUGCUAUAUAGGUGCGUUUACUUUCUAGGUGUGACCUUCUCAGAGGGACUAUAGAUGUAAAUGUAUGGAAGUUUGAGGCAAUAACAGGUCCGUGAUGCCCUUAGAUGUCCUGGGCCGCACGCGUGCUACAUUGAUGCAUGCAGCAAGUUACUUAACUCGAAAGGGGAUGGGAAAUCUUCACAAUGUGCAUCGUGCUUGGGAUAGAUCCUUGUAAUUAUGGAUCUUGAACGAGGAACUCCUAGUAAGCAUAAGUCACUACCUUAUGCUGAUUACGUCCCUGUCCUUUGUACACACCGCCCGUCGCUCCUACCGAUUGAGUGAUUCGGCGAAUGCUUCGGACCGGCUCAUUAGAGCUGGAAAGUUGUGUAAGCCAUAUCACUUAGAGGAAGGAUAAGGCGUAACAAGGUUUCCGUAGGUGAACCUGCAGAAGAUC